rnacentral:rRNA from 1 species
AUUGAACGCUGGCGGCAUGCCUUACACAUGCAAGUCGAACGGCAUCGCGGGAAAGCUUGCUUUCCUGGCGGCGAGUGGCGCACGGGUGAGUAACACAUCGGAACGUACCGGCUAGUGGGGGAUAACCCGUCGAAAGACGGGCUAAUACCGCAUACGCUCUUCGGAGGAAAGCAGGGGACCUUUGGGCCUUGCGCUAGCCGAGCGGCCGAUGUCCGAUUAGCUAGUUGGUGGGGUAAAGGCCUACCAAGGCGACGAUCGGUAGCGGGUCUGAGAGGACGAUCCGCCACACUGGGACUGAGACACGGCCCAGACUCCUACGGGAGGCAGCAGUGGGGAAUCUUGGACAAUGGGGGCAACCCUGAUCCAGCAAUGCCGCGUGGGUGAAGAAGGCCUUCGGGUUGUAAAGCCCUUUCGGCAGGGAAGAAAUCGGCGGGGCGAAUAACCCUGCUGGAUGACGGGACCUGCAGAAGAAGCACCGGCGAACUACGU